AGUGAACGCUGGCGGUAGGCCUAACACAUGCAAGUCGAACGGCAGCACAGUAAGAGCUUGCUCUUACGGGUGGCGAGUGGCGGACGGGUGAGGAAUACAUCGGAAUCUACUUUUUCGUGGGGGAUAACGUAGGGAAACUUACGCUAAUACCGCAUACGACCUACGGGUGAAAGCAGGGGAUCUUCGGACCUUGCGCGAUUGAAUGAGCCGAUGUCGGAUUAGCUAGUUGGCGGGGUAAAGGCCCACCAAGGCGACGAUCCGUAGCUGGUCUGAGAGGAUGAUCGGCCACACGGGAACGGAGACACGGCCCAACCCCCUACGGGGGGCAGGGGGGGGGAAUUUUGGAAAAUGGGGGAAAGCCUAACCCACCCAUACCGGGGGGGUGAAGAAGGCCUUCGGGUUGUAAAGCCCUUUUGUGGGGAAAAAAAAGCAGCAGGUUAAACCCCCGCUGUUCUGACGGUACCCAAAAAAAAAGCACCGGCAAACUUCGU
rnacentral:rRNA from 1 species